rnacentral:lncRNA from 1 species
CCCCAUAUUACUGGGUACACAUGUACAUCUAUAGAAUAAUGUUCUAUAGAAUAAUGUUCUAUGGAAUACUGUUCUUGCUGUGCCUACUGUAUACAUGCUUAAUAAAUGCUUAUUUUCUGAUAAAAAUGCUUUUAUAUGAGAACCCUAGUUAUAAUAGAUAGGUAAAUAAGAUGCUCAAUUCAUGACAUUUGCAAAAAUACUAAUAUAAUCAAGUGAAAUAACAAUUGACUGGACUACUGCUUCAAAGUGAUCCUGAUAUAAAAGAGCCCAUUAUGUAAACUUUCUGCUCCAUAUUUUAAAUACUUCCUUUGCAAUCACUUAAACCCUAAUAGUAGAGUAUUUUCAUAAAGUGACAUAUAAUUAUAACGUUAAGAAAUACCCUUAAAUGCCUUAUAGUUCAAAUACUAAUAUAUGGCUUCAGUCUCCUCAGUAACAGGCCAACUUUUGCUUGAAUAACUCCAGAAACAGAGAACUCACUUCCUUCAACCCCUCUCCUUCCAGGCUAUUUCCUUUUUAAGAAGUCUUCCUUAUGUUGGCUCUAAAUAUACCUUGCUCCAGAUCAGUGAUUCUCAGUGAGGAAAGGGGAUAAUUUUGUAACUUGCCAAUGUAUGGAAACAUUUUUAGAUGACAAAGCUUGGGGUGCUGGUGGCAUCUCAUGGGUAGAGGCUGGUGAUGCUACCAAACAUCUUACCAUGUACAGGACAGCCUUAUAUCCAGCCCAAAACAGCAAUAGUGCCAAGGUUGCUCUAGAGUCAACCUAUUUGUCCACAGAGAGAGUGUACCUGUUUCCAUUCAGCUGUCUAUCAGAUACUUGGAGACAGCUAACUAUAUGAAGGCUAUUACACUCCCAAGUUCUGCAACUAUUUUUCCUAUGCUCCUGUAAGAAAACUGGCAAUUAAUGUGUGACUUUUCCUCAAAACAUUUGAAUUUAAAGGAGGAAUGAAUCAUUGAAAGAAACCAAUGCUUAAUACAAAUUGACCAGCGGUGGUCCCCUUGAGCACUGUGGAGUUGAGUGAAGGGGGUAUAAUAGAGGGAUGUCUUUAUAUGCUCUUCCCUCUUCCCCAUAUAGCUAAAACCUGUGAAAUUUACUGCAAUGGAUUUAAUUUCAGGAGUUAUUCUUCUCAGGGAUACAAUGUGAACAAUGCAUGUAAUGUCAUGUCAUGAUACACUAUGUGAUAGUAACCAUCUCCUGAGUUAGAGUGUUCCUGGGAUGUGGAUAGUGCUGGAAAUUCUGGAAUAUUUCUAUACCAGGGAUGGGAAAGAGAUAGGA